AUACGGAGGGCGCAAGCGUUAAUCGGAAUCACUGGGCGUAAAGCGCACGUAGGCAGCGAGAUAAGUCGGGCGUGAAAGCCCUCGGCCCAUCCGAGGAAUUGCGUUCGAUACUGUUUGGCUUGAGUCCUGGAGAGGGUGGCGGAAUUCCGGGUGUAGGAGUGAAAUCCGUAGAUAUCCGGAGGAACACCGGUGGCGAAGGCGGCCACCUGGACAGGUACUGACGCUGAGGUGCGAAAGCGUGGGGAGC
rnacentral:rRNA from 1 species